CAGGGAGACAACAAAAUGUUUAAUAUUAUUAUUUUGUCACCUUAGGUCGAUCGGUAUCUCACGUUUUUAAUUUAUUAAGAAUUUCAUUUCCUAAGUUUUUCUAGGUCACACCCAUUAUUUUUCCUGGGCCAUUAGCUCAGGUGGUUAGAGCGCACCCCUGAUAAGGGUGAGGUCCCUGGUUCAAGUCCAGGAUGGCCCAUAUCUCUAUGUUGGGGGUAUAGCUCAGUUGGUAGAGCGCCUGCUUUGCAAGCAGGAUGUCAGCGGUUCGAGUCCGCUUACCUCCACUGAUUACCACCUCUGUCAUAAAUUUGUACAAAGGAAAUGUUUUGAGUUGUGAUCAGAUUCUGGACGAAUCUAGCUUCCUAAUGAAAUCAUUAAGAUGCUGGACUCAUCGAACUAAUUUCAUUGUUUUCAGAGAACCUUGACAACUGCAUAGAUUAUUUUUAAAGACAAUAAGCAUCUUUAAUGAUGCAGAUUUAUUAUUUGUGCGAAUGCAUUAAUAACAAUUCUAUUAAGCUGAUGCUUCAAUUUUGAAGUUAUU
rnacentral:tRNA from 1 species